AACUUCAUCAGCCGCAAGGGAUUCCUUCUGGUUGAUGAGGUAUAAGAGCCUCAUUGGCUGGAAGGAAUCCCUUUCAGCUGAUGAGGCU
rnacentral:miRNA from 1 species